rnacentral:lncRNA from 1 species
UCUUUGGUUGGCUGGCUAGGCUUGGCGCAGUCUCUGCCAAGUCUCUGGCUUGGCCCAGCUGGCCGCAGGAGGUCCCUCGCCCUUUCAAUGCAAUCGCAGACAGAACAGUUGGCGUCAGUGACCUAGGCCUAGAAUCUAGAUCUAGAUCUAUAUAAUAUCCAUCAUAAUUCACAAUUUACAACACAGUUUCACUCCUGCCUGUCAGCCUGAGCCCAGACGAGGUACGAACGUCGAACACCUCGACUGAGGCUCAGGCUCGGUCCAUCGACAUCGAGCUGGCCUUGUUUUGACUGGACCGCUGUCCGAGUUGGAAGUUGGAAGUUGGAAGUUAAGGGUUGAAUGUGAAACAAGACGAGAAGAUGAUUCAUCACCCCGAUCACAUGUGGCACAGACACUGUCCCCUGAACUUAUCACGGCAUCUCCAGACUUGGCAUGACUUGCACCUGAUGUUGGAUUUAAUUUUAUGACACUGGACUCUCCAUGUAAAUUUAAACAGUGCCAGACAAUGGUAAAUGUAGCUUUCAUCCCUCCAAGUGCUCAGAGAGUGGAGACGUGUCAUAAUCAGUAACUUUUUAAAAUCACUUGUUCUUUUUGUCUGUUUUUCAUUUUCACUACACAGACAAAUCAGCAGACCAUUCAUGAACUGCAGUUUUUGGGAGAAUCCAAUGUGACGAUCCAGUGUGACUUGACUCUUCCUAGAAUGUUUACGCAAGCUUCAUAGGAUGUGAACAUACAAAAACAAGCGUGCUAGGAUAUUUUUCCACACACAAAAAAAGAGAACAUGCUAAUAAGUGGUCUCCAGAGUAGAUUUUGAAUACAAACAUUCCCAAAUUUUAGAAGAAAUGUUGUCUAUGGUGAACAGGCGAGACAGAUGUUAUUGUAGAUUCUCUGGACAAUUUGGGCAGUUUCAUUUACAUUCAUGCUGUAGUUUAUUUUGCAACUACUGGGCAAUAGUAUAGUGAAUAGAUCCAUACCCUGAUGGGUCAGUCAGUAAUACGGACACUGACUCAGUAUGACCAACAGAGCUACGCAUAUUGACAUUCCGUUACUUACAUCCAGGACUGAUCUGGCCUUAUGAAGAAUAUUAUUUUAUGCCAAAGUUUUGAAAGUAAGAACACUGCCAAACUCUGAAAAUGACAGCUCUGCCAUCAGGCCGAAAGAUGGAGCUAAGUGUUCUUAGACGAAGGGUAUGCUUAUCAUCAGCGCAUUAUCUUGCCUUCACAAGAGCUGUGACCUCUCAAGUUUUUGGGUUGAGAAAGUAAAACCAUCACCUGGAUUAGAUUGACUGGGAUGGACUUCAAGCGCGGAGAAGGGUUUUGUGGACGCAAACAAGUUAUUUCAAGAGAUUCCAAGGACAAGGACAAGAAUAUCAUCAUUACAGAGUAAUGUCUAAAAACUUGUGUGGGAACUGAGAUCAUCGUUUUGUGUCAUUAUGACGUGCUUUGAGUGCCACGGUGUCUACGAGCUCUGCAGCACAAAAGAUCAAAGGAAAGACACGUCUUGGAACGACAGGCGCGGAUUCUUGUAUGUAAGUUUUGUCAUGAUCCAUAUUAUGAAGGUUU